rnacentral:rRNA from 1 species
GAUGAACGCUGGCGGCGUGCCUAAUACAUGCAAGUCGAGCGAACAGACGAGGAGCUUGCUCCUCUGACGUUAGCGGCGGACGGGUGAGUAACACGUGGAUAACCUACCUAUAAGACUGGGAUAACUUCGGGAAACCGGAGCUAAUACCGGAUAAUAUAUUGAACCGCAUGGUUCAAUAGUGAAAGACGGUUUUGCUGUCACUUAUAGAUGGAUCCGCGCCGCAUUAGCUAGUUGGUAAGGUAACGGCUUACCAAGGCAACGAUGCGUAGCCGACCUGAGAGGGUGAUCGGCCACACUGGAACUGAGACACGGUCCAGACUCCUACGAGAGGCAGCAGUAGGGAAUCUUCCGCAAUGGGCGAAAGCCUGACGGAGCAACGCCACGUGAGUGAUGAAGGUCUUCGGAUCGUAAAACUCUGUUAUUAGGGAAGAACAAAUGUGUAAGUAACUAUGCACGUCUUGACGGUACCUAAUCAGAAAGCCACGGCUAACUACGUG